UGAUAACAGAGGUCUUCUGGUCUCUGGUCUACCAGCAUCGGUCUCUGAUGGUAGAGAUGUCUGGGUCGGCCUGUCCUGGGAUGUUACAUUGAUAACAGAGGUCUUCUGGUCUCUGGUCUACCAGCAUCGGUCUCUGAUGGUAGAGAUGUCUGGGUCGGCCUGUCCUGGGACUUCACAUUGAUAACAGAGGUCUUCUGGUCUACCAGCAUCGGUCUCUGAUGGUAGAGAUGUCUGGGUCGGCCUGUCCUGGGAUGUUACAUUGAUAACAGAGGUCUUCUGGUCUCUGGUCUACCAGCAUCGGUCUCUGAUGGUAGAGAUGUCUGGGUCUGCCUGUCCUGGGAUGUUACAUUGAUAACAGAGGUCUUCUGGUCUCUGGUCUACCAGCAUCGGUCUCUGAUGGUAGAGAUGUCUGGGUCUGCCUGUCCUGGGAUGUUACAUUGAUAACAGAGGUCUUCUGGUCUCUGGUCUACCAGCAUCGGUCUCUGAUGGUAGAGAUGUCUGGGUCUGCCUGUCCUGGGAUGUUACAUUGAUAACAGAGGUCUUCUGGUCUCUGGUCUACCAGCAUCGGUCUCUGAUGGUAGAGAUGUCUGGGUCGGCCUGUCCUGGGACUUCACAUUGAUAACAGAGGUCUUCUGGUCUACCAGCAUCGGUCUCUGAUGGUAGAGAUGUCUGGGUCGGCCUGUCCUGGGAUGUUACAUUGAUAACAGAGGUCUUCUGGUCUCUGGUCUACCAGCAUCGGUCUCUGAUGGUAGAGAUGUCUGGGUCGGCCUGUCCUGGGAUGUUACAUUGAUAACAGAGGUCUUCUGGUCUCUGGUCUACCAGCAUCGGUCUCUGAUGGUAGAGAUGUCUGGGUCGGCCUGUCCUGGGACUUUACAUUGAUAACAGAGGUCUUCUGGUCUCUGGUCUACCAGCAUCGGUCUCUGAUGGUAGAGAUGUCUGGGUCGGCCUGUCCUGGGACUUUACAUUGAUAACAGAGGUCUUCUGGUCUCUGGUCUACCAGCAUCGGUCUCUGAUGGUAGAGAUGUCUGGGUCGGCCUGUCCUGGGACUUCACAUUGAUAACAGAGGUCUUCUGGUCUCUGGUCUACCAGCAUCGGUCUCUGAUGGUAGAGAUGUCUGGGUCGGCCUGUCCUGGGACUUUACAUUGA